rnacentral:lncRNA from 1 species
AAACUAUCAAAUUUUUAUCAAACGUCCUAUAAAUAGGCAUUCGUGAGAAUAAUGCAUUCGUUAUUUCAAAACAUGUUAUACAUUUUUUCGUGAGAAUAAUGCAUUCGUUAUUUCAUUUGGGAAAUAAAAUAGGCCGCCAAUCCAAAAUCCUCGACGACCUAUAGACUGGGAGCUUAAUGGAGAGAUGAUAAAUUUGGAAAUAUUUUAAUUGGAGUUCGAUACUAUAUAUGAGUCUAUGAUUUUGGGUGUUGGUCGGAAGGAGCGACCGAGCGAGUAGAUAUAAGGCUUUUCUCCAAAAAAAAUAAAAAAAUAAAAAAUAAAUAAAGACUUGGUGUUUUUUAAAUUUUAACCAUGGCAGCCCUGCAAAAGAAAAGACACAUCCCAGUAAAAUCGGCCCAAAAAUUGUUUGAUUUGAAAAACUUGAAUAUUGGUAGAUAAUUGAAAUCAA